UGUGGGCCACUGAGGGACCAGGACAUUGCCCUCUGUGAUGGGUCGUCCGGUUGGACAGCUGGUCUCUAUGACAUCCUUGUCUUAGCUAUCUCUAACCUCCAGCACACUGUUAAAGCUGUGCAUAAGGGUUUUUGUCUCCCCGGCUUGAGAAUGAGCUACAGGGUAUGUUCAUUUUUCUUCUAGCAAUAGCCCGUCACAGAGGUGCGUAGAGCAGACAUUCAGAGCUGCUGGGAGGGAGCUGAAGGUUAUCUGACACAUCAGACAGCAGUUGGGAUCCAAGGGCUGAGGAUAUGCUUUCCGUAUGCCACCAAUUUUCCACAACCAGCCACUGUGCAUCCUGCCUGCAGCUGAGCAGGACAUCAGAGAUGCAGAUGGGCCUCCACAGGUGCUGUAUCCUCUUGUACAUUUAUUAUGUUUGUGAGCCAACAUUUAAGAACUUGGAAAAUUUCACCUAAAAAUUCAGGAAUCAGAUUUCUGAUUUCCUAGGAAAUUGGAAGUCGUGACAUGCUGGGACAUACUCCUACGUGUCAACUCUCCCAGGAGCUAAGUGUCUGUCAUCCAGAGCUGGUGGUGGGGUGUGAGUGCUCACAGCCAGGAGCCACUGUCUCUCCAUCCAGGUGUGCUCGUGUGUUCAUACCUGCCUGUUCCUCUCAUUGCCUGCCUCAUCUCCAUGCUGGUGUUCACUCAUCUACUCAUUUGUUUAUUCCUCCAAUAGAUACACAUCUCUCUGUGUGUCAGCCGGAGGGCAUUGAGACAUUUAAGACAUGGCACUAGCGUUCUCAGGCUGCUGUCACCAAGUGUCACAAACCUGGCUUGAAACAACAGAGACAUGCUGGUUCUGGAGGUCAGAAGUCUGAACUCAAGGUGCCGGCUGGGCUGUACCCUCUCUCAGUUCCUGGUGGUGGCCGGGGGUCCUCGGUGUUCUUAGCUUGCUUUGGCUUCGCCCCCAGCUCUCUCUGUCAUGUGACCUCCUUCCCUCUGUGCUUUCACAGAGUGGUCUCCACUCUACAUGAGCCUGUCUCUGUGUCUCUUCCUAUAAGGACACCAGACAUGUCAGUGUAGGGCCUGCCUGCAUCCCAAUCCAGUAUGACCUCAUCUAACUUAAUGAGAUUCGCAGAGACACUACUUUCAAAUACGGUCUCAUUCACCUCCUUCAGGAUUAGGGCUUCAACUUCUUGGGAAGAUAUAAUUCACAGGAAGACCUCCGACAGCUCACAGUUGGGCGCCUGGCUCUCAGUCAGCGUUCACAUUUGGGAGACAAGACUCCUGAAGUGUCAGCAACACCCGGUGGCAGUCUGCCUUCCUGGAGCACACACAGUGAGGUAGCCCUGUGGCCUUAGCACCCCAUUUAAUCUCUCCGACAGUCCUCCGAGGGAGAGUGUUGUUACUCCACGUUGCAGAUGAGGAAGCCGAGGUCAGAGGUGUGACACUGCCUUGACAAAGUCACAGGGGAGCAAAGCCGGUGUGUAGGGACAGCAGUGAGGGCCAGGAGGUUACUUUCCCUUUCCAGUCAGCCCCUUGGCCCCUACCAUAUGAACAGGCGAGGUGAGCUUUUACCUCAGCUGCCAUCAUAAACCCCAGUGCUGACCUCACUUACCAUCCCCCCACUGAUCUGUGGACUUGCCAGGAUGACUGCCAGGGCUUUGGGCCUGAUGUACAAAAGGUUGAUUAUUUCCUUGAUCCUGGGGGUGUGGUUUCUAAAUUUCCAUUUGAACAAGAUUUAGUCCAUAUU